GCAAACGCUAAAAAAAAAACUAAAAACAAAAAAGAAAACUCGGUACACAUUCAAAUAAUGCAUUUUUGUUGAUCAUGUUUGAUAAAACUAUAAAAAAUAAGGGGAGGGGGUGCGCCAGUUAUGUCAAUUUGUAGGGCUUGUCAUUUGUCAUUAGCGAUUUUGUGUCGGGAGUCUAGGCAAAGAGAUGAGGAAGCGACCACAUAAAACAGAGGCUAUUACAUAAAAGAGAAGGUUGGCACACCUCCCAGAAUUUUUCCCUCAGCGUUUCGGUUCAAAUCAGGUAUCCAAUAUGCACUUUGGAUACUGCUCAUCUUCCUCUGCGAUGUCAAAUCAACAAUCUAGUGGUGCGUGCCCAACAAUUUUGAUUUUUGGGCUGCUGUUUUCAAGGUCAAAUCGAGAGAGGCAAGGGGGUUGCAUCAACUGUCGAGAUGCGUAAGGAGGUGCGUGGCUUACCAAGUUGGUGGCGCAAACGUUUUUCAAAACUGCACUUCAUCGUUGCAAUGAUUUCGGAUGGAAAUGCCCGAGGCAAUUUUUAAAAUCACGCUUGCAUGAUUAAACAAAGCAGAGUGGGGGGAAUCCGUGAGUGCAGGAGACAAUCUGAGGCUGUUAUAUCACAUCGAAGGUUGGCGCACCUCCCGCUUGGGUAAAAUUGGAGUACCCGCAACGCACUUCAUCAACUGCCCGUUUUCUGUGAUUUGAAAUCAACAACGUACUUGUAUGCACACCUAACUUUUUUUUUUUUUAGAUUUGGCCACGUGUUGAUUGCCUUUGCAAAAUAACAUUUCGGAGAGGGGGUGCACUGACUUUUUUGAAAGGAAAGUUUUUCCAAGAUUGCCAUUCAUCAAGAGGAUUUGGGGAGGUCUAAAGAUCAUUUUGAGAUGCGCUGCUAAAUAAUGAUCAGCAUUUCCUUCAAAAUAACUUUUAAGAACAUUUUUAUUAUUUUGUCACAUGUUACAAUAACGUUUGCUUGAUGAAACGAGGCAGAGGAGGGUGCGCCAACGCCGGCGGAACGUUGAAGGAGUUAAAAGCAAAAUUGUAUAGACGACACAAUAAUGACUUUGAGAUUCAACUUUUGUUUUGCUAAAAAAAAAAAAAAUAGAGAAGAAAACCCCCAAAACAAAAACAGAGCAUCCUUAUAGCCCCUGAGGUGCGUAGCAUUAUUUGUUGGAACCCCUCUGUCUUGAGAUAAGGAAGAGAGGAUUGCGUUCUAAGGUUGUUACAUAACAGAAAAAAUGCACCAUUUCAGUCCAAAAUGACACGGUUAAUCCUGAGCACCCCGAAAUGACAUUUGCGCACCCCCAACGGGGAAUCUCUCACAAUUUGGGAAUCCCUCUAUCAGGAGAUGUGAAGAGAAUGAGGGCGACACACCUUUGCGCACCUCCAUUGGUUGAAUCGGAGGCAUCUUUCCCAUCCUACCUUCAUUUAAGACGACUCAAAAGUGCUCGAGAACGGCCCUCCCCCCAAAUUUCGGCCUCACCCGACAGUCUUUACAUGGCGUGAGUGUUUCUGAGUGCGUGGAGUGCAUUUAUCGGACGGAGUUGGAGACAGCUCCUGGCUUUUGGUGGCUCGCUUCGAUGUGAAAAAAAAAGAAAAAGAAAAUCAA